rnacentral:rRNA from 1 species
GACAGAGGGUGCGAACGUUGUUCGGAAUUACUGGGCGUAAAGCGCAUGUAGGCGGCAGCGCAAGUCGGGCGUGAAAUCCCACGGCUCAACCGUGGAAGUGCACUCGAAACUGCGCAGCUAGAGUCCUGGAGAGGAAGGUGGAAUGCUUGGUGUAGAGGUGAAAUUCGUAGAUAUCAAGCGGAACACCGGUGGCGAAGGCGGCCUUCUGGACAGUGACUGACGCUGAGGAGCGAAAGCGUGGGGAGCGAACAGG